rnacentral:rRNA from 1 species
CUCCUACGGGAGGCAGCAGUAGGGAAUCUUCCGCAAUGGGCGCAAGCCUGACGGAGCAACGCCGCGUGAGUGAGGAAGGCCUUCGGGUUGUAAAACUCAGUCACCUGGGAAGAGAGGUAUGGGGAGUGGAAUGCCCCAUACGAGACGGUACCAGGGGAGGAAGCCCCGGCUAACUACGUGCCAGCAGCCGCGGUAAUACGUAGGGGGCAAGCGUUGUCCGGAAUCACUGGGCGUAAAGCGUGCGUAGGCGGUCUUUCAAGUCCGGGGUGAAAACUCAAGGCUCAACCUUGAGAAUGCCUUGGAAACUGGGGGACUUGAGUACUGGAGAGGCAAGGGGAAUUCCACGUGUAGCGGUGAAAUGCGUAGAGAUGUGGAGGAAUACCAGUGGCGAAGGCGCCUUGCUGGACAGUGACUGACGCUGAGGCACGAAAGCGUGGGGAGCAAACAGGAUUAGAUACCCUGGUAGUCCACGCCGUAAACGAUGAGUGCUAGGUGUUGGGGGUUCAUCCCCUCAGUGCCGAAGGAAACCCAAUAAGCACUCCGCCUGGGGAGUACGGUCGCAAGACUGAAACUCAAAGGAAUUGACGGGGGCCCGCACAAGCAGUGGAGCAUGUGGUUUAAUUCGAAGCAACGCGAAGAACCUUACCAGGGCUUGACAUCCCUCUGACCGGUUCAGAGAUGGACCUUCCCUUCGGGGCAGAGGAGACAGGUGGUGCAUGGUUGUCGUCAGCUCGUGUCGUGAGAUGUUGGGUUAAGUCCCGCAACGAGCGCAACCCUUGACCUGUGUUACCAGCACGUAAUGGUGGGGACUCACAGGUGACUGCCGGCGUAAGUCGGAGGAAGGUGGGGAUGACGUCAAAUCAUCAUGCCCUUUAUGUCCUGGGCUACACACGUGCUACAAUGGGCGGUACAACGGGAAGCGAGACCGCGAGGUGGAGCGAAACCCAAAAAGCCGUUCGUAGUUCGGAUUGCAGGCUGCAACCCGCCUGCAUGAAGCCGGAAUUGCUAGUAAUCGCGGAUCAGUAUGCCGCGGUGAAUCCGUUCCUGGGCCCUGUACACACCGCCCGU